rnacentral:rRNA from 1 species
UACGGGGGGAGCAAGCGUUGUUCGGAUUUACUGGGCGUAAAGCGCACGUAGGCGGAUUGUUAAGUCAGAGGUGAAAUCCCGGAGCUCAACUUCGGAACUGCCUUUGAUACUGGCAAUCUAGAGUCCGGAAGAGGUUAGUGGAAUUCCCAGUGUAGAGGUGAAAUUCGUAGAUAUUGGGAAGAACACCAGUGGCGAAGGCGGCUAACUGGUCCGGUACUGACGCUGAGGUGCGAAAGCGUGGGGAGCAAACAGG